rnacentral:tRNA from 1 species
GUUCUUGUAGUUGAAUAACAACGGUGAUUUUUCAGGUCAUUAGUCAUGGUUUAAGUCCAUGUAGGAAUU